rnacentral:rRNA from 1 species
CGAACCCCGGCGCGGCAUGCGCCAAGGAAAACUUNAAGGAAUCGUCGUCCCCCUGGCGCCCGUCCGCGGUGCGUCUCGGGUGUGCGGCGUCCCUCAAAUGUCUAAACGACUCUCGGCAACGGAUAUCUCGGCUCUCGCAUCGAUGAAGAACGUAGCGAAAUGCGAUACUUGGUGUGAAUUGCAGAAUCCCGUGAACCAUCGAGUCUUUGAACGCAAGUUGCGCCCGAAGCCUUCUGGCCGAGGGCACGCCUGCCUGGGCGUCACGCAUCGCGUCGCCCCCUCC